CAAUGCAACAGGUGAUGUGUGUUGAAUGUCUUGGGUUCAAACAGACAUGCAAGAAGAACAAUGCAACAGGUGAUGUGUGUUGAAUGUCUUGGGUUCAAACAGACAUGCAAGAAGAACAAUGCAACAGGUGAUGUGUGUUGAAUGUCUUGGGUUCAAACAGACAUGCAAGAAGAACAAUGCAACAGGUGAUGUGUGUUGAAUGUCUUGGGUUCAAACAGACAUGCAAGAAGAACAAUGCAACAGGUGAUGUGUGUUGAAUGUCUUGGGUUCAAACAGACAUGCAAGAAGAACAAUGCAACAGGUGAUGUGUGUUGAAUGUCUUGGGUUCAAACAGACAUGCAAGAAGAACAAUGCAACAGGUGAUGUGUGUUGAAUGUCUUGGGUUCAAACAGACAUGCAAGAAGAACAAUGCAACAGGUGAUGUGUGUUGAAUGUCUUGGGUUCAAACAGACAUGCAAGAAGAACAAUGCAACAGGUGAUGUGUGUUGAAUGUCUUGGGUUCAAACAGACAUGCAAGAAGAACAAUGCAACAGGUGAUGUGUGUUGAAUGUCUUGGGUUCAAACAGACAUGCAAGAAGAACAAUGCAACAGGUGAUGUGUGUUGAAUGUCUUGGGUUCAAACUUCAGUGGUGCUAAAUUGCAAAGGCUCUGUGACAGUGUUUUACGGUUUCAAAAACGUGGUUGGAUGGGUUUUUGCGGUUGAGGGGUUGCUGGCGCCCCCAUACUCGGCACAGUAGAGAGGCUAGAACAAUGGGCUGUGUGUGGAUGUUCUCUCAUUCAUGUUUGAGGUGUGUGUGUGUGUUAUAUCCACACCUUCACUUCCCUUUGAUGAGUUUGGUCUUCCUUCACGCCACCACACUGCUGUCCCAACGAGGCACCGAUAGGGGUGUGUUGUCACAAGGUGUGUGUGUGUGUAAAUGGAUACCUGUUGGUUUGGUCUAGGAGUGUGAAACAGGUCUACAUCUGCAUGCGGCUCAGUGGAUCUGAAAACAAACAGAUGUCACUUCUCCAUGGAGCUGCUAGAGCCUUCGUCUCCAUAACAGCAACAGGCGUGAAAGGUGAUUGGCUGCACAGCUUCAGUUUGGAUAGAACAUUCUCUAACUAAGGAACUUCCUUUUCAGGAAGUUGGCUGGUUUCCUUCUGUUGCACUGAGAAUUCACGUUGGCGGCCAUUUUGUUUCCAACAGAAACGAGUUGAGAAAGAUGGCAAAUCAUUUAUGGAUGGAGGAAGUGCAAGAAAACGGAGUAAUGGCGUCUCCUUUUAAAGUUCUCCCCUUUUGUAUGCUGGCGACACAUUGUAAUGGAAUACGGAUUCA